rnacentral:lncRNA from 1 species
CGGUGAUUGUGGUGAUCUGUCACCGAAGUCCAGCCCCCGUCCCUCAGGGGGCUUUCUCCCCCUCCCCCUUUCCAGCACUUGAUCCUCUGCCAGCUGCUCUCCUGUGGGUCUGCAAGAGCCCAACUGUUGGGAGAACAAUUUGAUUUAUCCUCUGGUCUCCACGGGUUGUGAGCAGCACACGUGUUCCCUGCCAGAGCGAUCGUGUACGUGUCUGAAGGACAAAGAGGGGCAGGCUGGCUGUCUACCCUGGGGUCCCAGGCCAAGCAGUGAAAGAACGGCCUAACGAGGGGCACAGGCACAACCACAGUGGAGAUGGUCUGAGAAGGCCUCGCAGCACAGAUGCUGAGGGGGAUGCAGCGACCUCCUGAAGGGAGGCUGGAGGCAGUUUCCACACAGAAGAAAAGAAAAUGACCGGUAAGGGGGCUUGUGGCAGAGGAAGUGACUGACAGUGAGGGGCAUGCUGGAUCUGGACUGUGCUGACACGGCCACGGACACGGAUACCAGGGCCUACGAGCGCUGACCUUGAGCUGGGUCUGAAACAGAGACGGCACCUUGAAAUGACCACAUGCCAUCGAAGGUAAGGUAAGGGCAGGCAGGGAGCUGGCCCUGGGGCAUGUCCGACAACUCUCCCAGGGGAGUCCUAGAGGACUGCACAGCAGACACAGGUGUGGGUGCCUGAGAUGGCCCCACUUCAGGCCAGAACUCUAACCCAGUGGGGGAGCGUCUGUGCUUGUUGCCUCUGACAUCUUUUCUCUUCAUCUUUGCAUUGCCUGCAUUUCAAUGUAUAGAGGAUGUAUGCCAUGGGUCUGUGUCUAUCCACAGAUGUUUCUAAUGGAUCCACUCAAAUUCUUACAUUCCAGUGAACUCAUUUGUUAGUGGAGGCAGUUGAAUCAUUACACCUAUUAAAACAUGGAUUAACCACAGAAUAAAUGGGUUGGGGUUUGUUCACAGUGGGGG